AACGAACGCUGGCGGCAUGCCUAACACAUGCAAGUCGAACGAUCCCUUCGGGGAUAGUGGCGCACGGGUGCGUAACGCGUGGGAAUCUGCCCUUUGCUUCGGAAUAACAGUGAGAAAUUACUGCUAAUACCGGAUGAUGUCUUCGGACCAAAGAUUUAUCGGCAAGGGAUGAGCCCGCGUAGGAUUAGGUAGUUGGUGGGGUAAUGGCCUAACAAGCCGACGUUCCUUAGCUGGUCUGAGAGGAUGAUCAGCCACACUGGGACUGAGACACGGCCCAGACUCCUACGGGAGGCAGCAGUGGGGAAUAUUGGACAAUGGGCGCAAGCCUGAUCCAGCAAUGCCGCGUGAGUGAUGAAGGCCUUAGGGUUGUAAAGCUCUUUUACCAGGGAUGAUAAUGACAGUACCUGGAGAAUAAGCUCCGGCUAACUCCGUGCCAGCAGCCGCCGUAACAC
rnacentral:rRNA from 1 species